rnacentral:rRNA from 1 species
UAUGUGAUCGUCUCUCGCAUAUCAAUAAGCGGAGGAAAAGAAAAUAACAAUGAUUUCCCCUAGUAACGGCGAGUGAAGCAGGAAAGAGCUCAAAUUUGAAACUGUUAAGGGCUUAGCUACCGUAAUUGUAACUGUAAAGACAGUGUUUUCCUGUGCACGCCGUGAUUAAUAAGUCCUUUGGAAUAGGACAUCAUAGAGGGUGAGAAUCCCGUAUUUGACCUUUACUUUCAACUUUGUGAUACACUUUCAAAGAGUCGGAUUGUUUGGGAAUGCAGUCCAAAAUGGGUGGUAAAUUUCAUCUAAAGCUAAAUAUUGGCGAGAGACCGAUAGCGAACAAGUACCGUGAGGGAAAGUAUGAAAAGAACUUUGAAAAGAGAGUUAAACAGUACGUGAAAUUGUCAAAAGGGAGGCGUUUGACACCAGUGUUGUUUUUCUGAAAAUCAAUUAAAGAACUGUUUAUGCUAAGCUGUUUAGACUUUAUCAGCUAUCUGUUUAGUUUUGAGCUUUUCUUUAAUGCACUUUUCAGUUAACAAGUCAACAUCAAUUUCUUUUGCUGUAAAAAAGCUUGAGGAAGGUGGCUUGAGAUUCGUCUUAAGUGUUUAUAGCCUCUUGCCUAUGCAGUCGGAGAGAUUGAGGUCUGCAGCGUAGAUCCUUCGGGGCUAAAUGCAUUUGUGCUAAGUUAUAGCAUUUUAUAGACAACUUGUUGACUAUGAUUUGUCUUGUAGCUUACUCGCUUAUGUUAUUUUACCUACGCUUAGGAUGUUGAUCUACAGAGCGAGAGU